AGAAGAUGAAAGGGCUAAUGAAGCUGAUUGCAUGAUCUGGAAUUGUUCCCUUACAGAGAGUUUUAUCACAUAAGAUAUUCUGUGGAAAGCAGCACCUAUUUACUUCUUUGUAAGCCAUUAUGAAGAUCAAACAAGCCUCUCAGACAAAACAACAGAGGUGAUUGAAACACAAGCAGAAGAAAACAGCUCACUGAGUGGGUUCUUGCAGACUCUGGAGCCUUUCAAGAAGCAUGUCUAACCAAAAGAGAGGCGAUCAGCUAUUGCAUUAACAAACAACAGGAAUAAGGUUUGAACAGAAACUCUAGAAAAUAGAUAAGAAUCUUUUAAAUAUACACUAAUCUUUUUAAAUAAUUUGAACUUGCUUGUCCAUUAUUUUGUUGCAGGCCAUCAUUUUCCCCUUUCCAUUAAUAUAAUCACCAUCUCAGCUGUCCUCAUGGCUUCCCCUUUUCUGUGUUAGGU